rnacentral:rRNA from 1 species
UGCAGUCGAACGCUUUUUCUUUCACCGGAGCUUGCUCCACCGAAAGAAAAAGAGUGGCGAACGGGUGAGUAACACGUGGGUAACCUGCCCAUCAGAAGGGGAUAACACUUGGAAACAGGUGCUAAUACCGUAUAACACUAUUUUCCGCAUGGAAGAAAGUUGAAAGGCGCUUUUGCGUCACUGAUGGAUGGACCCGCGGUGCAUUAGCUAGUUGGUGAGGUAACGGCUCACCAAGGCAACGAUGCAUAGCCGACCUGAGAGGGUGAUCGGCCACACUGGGACUGAGACACGGCCCAGACUCCUACGGGAGGCAGCAGUAGGGAAUCUUCGGCAAUGGACGAAAGUCUGACCGAGCAACGCCGCGUGAGUGAAGAAGGUUUUCGGAUCGUAAAACUCUGUUGUUAGAGAAGAACAAGGAUGAGAGUAAAAUGUUCAUCCCUUGACGGUAUCUAACCAGAAAGCCACGGCUAACUACGUGCCAGCAGCC